GACGAACGCUGGCGGCGUGCUUAACACAUGCAAGUCGAACGGAAAGGCCCUGCUUUUGUGGGGUGCUCGAGUCGCGAGCGGGUGAGUAACACGUGAGUAACCUGCCCUUGACUUUGGGAUAACUUCAGGAAACUGGGGCUAAUACCGGAUAGGAGCUCCUGCUGCAUGGUGGGGGUUGGAAAGUUUCGGCGGUUGGGGAUUGACUCGCGGCUUAUCAUCUUGUUGGUGUGGUAGUGGCUUACCAAGGCUUUGACGGGUAGCCGGCCUGCGAGGGUGACCGGCCACAUUGGGACUGAGAUACGGCCCAGACUCCUACAGGAGGAAGCAGUGGGGAAUAUUGCACAAUGGGCGGAAGCCUGAUGCAGCAACGCCGCGUGCGGGAUGACGGCCUUCGGGUUGUAAACCGCUUUCGCCUGUGACGAAGAGUGAGUGACGGUAAUGGGUAAAGAAGCACCGGCUAACUACGUG
rnacentral:rRNA from 1 species